CACGUAGGGCGCGAGCGUUGUCCGGAAUUAUUGGGCGUAAAGAGCUCGUAGGCGGCCUGUUGCGUCCGCUGUGAAAGCCCGGGGCUUAACCCCGGGUCGCAGUGGAUACGGGCAGGCUAGAGGUAGGUAGGGGAGAAUGGAAUUCCCGGUGUAGCGGUGAAAUGCGCAGAUAUCGGGAGGAACACCGGUGGCGAAGGCGGUUCUCUGGGCCUGUACUGACGCUGAGGAGCGAAAGCGUGGGGAGCGAACAGG
rnacentral:rRNA from 1 species